rnacentral:rRNA from 1 species
GAUGAACGCUGGCGGUCUGCUUAACACAUGCAAGUCGAACGGUGAACCCUCGGGUUCAUAGUGGCGGACGGGUGAGUAACACGUGAGAAUCUCCUCAGGUCGGGGACAACAGUGGGAAACUGCUGCUAAAACCCGAUGUGCCCAAGGGUGAAAGAUUAAUUGCCUGGAGAUGAGCUCGCGUCCGAUUAGCUAGUUGGUAGAGUAAAAGCCUACCAAGGCUCCAUUCGGUUAGCUUGGUUUGAAGAGGAUGAGCAGUCACCACUGGGAAUGAGACCACGGCCCCAGNUCCUACGGGAGGCAGCAGUGGGGAGUUUUCCGCAAUGGGCGAAAGCCUGACGGAGCAAGACCGCGUGGGGGAUGAAGGCUCUUGGGUUGUAAACCCCUUUUCUCAGGGAAGAAGAACUGACGGUACCUGAGGAAUAAGCAUCGGCUAACUCCGUGCCAGCAGCCGCGGUAAGACGGAGGAUGCUAGCGUUAUCCGGAAUUAUUGGGCGUAAAGCGUUCGUAGGUGGCUGUUCAAGUCUGCCGUUAAAGACCGGGGCUUAACUCCGGAAAAACUGUGGAAGCUGAACAGCUAGAGUAUGGUAGGGGUAAGGGGAAUUCCUGGUGUAGCGGUGAAAUGCGUAGAUAUCAGGAAGAACACCGGUGGCGAAGGCGCCUUACUGGGCCAUAACUGACACUGAGGGACGAAAGCUAGGGGAGCGAAAGGGAUUAGAUACCCCUGUAGUCCUAGCAGUAAAC